AUGGGGCCGUUGUGGGUUUUCUUCGGUGCAUUCGUAAUGGCAGCCACCGCAGUUCAUGUCGCCGGUCAGCAAGAAGGUUUCUUGAGCAUCGAUUGCGGCCUGGAUGCCAAAUUCAGCGGCCGCAGGGACACGUACACAGAUAUCGCUUACGUCUCCGACGGUCCGUACGUCGACGGCGGGGAGAACCACAGGGUAGCCGCCGAGCUCGAUACUACUGACACAAACGAGGACCUCCGCACGCUCAGGAGUUUCCCGUCCGGCCUACGAAACUGUUACACGCUCCCAACCAAGAGCGGCGCCAAGUACCUUGUCCGGAUGUUGUUCUUCCACGGGAACUACGACGGCAAGACGGUCGAUUUCGACCUACACCUUGGCACCAACUACUGGGAUACGAUGUCGGUCGGAAACACGACCGACGACCGCUACUCGUGGUCCGAGGCGAUCUUCGUCGCCUGGGCGAGCUGGGUGCCGGUGUGCCUGGUGAACACCGGCAGUGGUACGCCGUUCGUCAGCACGGUGGAGCUGAGGCCGCUCAGUGCCUCGCUUUACCCGGACGUCACCAUCGAUGAGUCCAUGUCCACGUAUCAAAGGAUAAACACAGGGGGAAACUUUACUCGGUUUCCUGAGGAUCCUUACGACCGCUACUGGAGUUCGAGAACCAGGUUGUCAUGGGCAAAGCUUUCCACCAAAGACACCAUCGAGCAGGACAACGUCUUCGCGGUGCCCAGUCUGGUUCUUCAGACAGCCGUAGCUCCUAUCAACAAUGCCACGGUGCUAUAUGUCAAUACAUGGAUAUCAUACAAAACAUCAUUGGAGUUUAAGUUCAUCUUCCAUUUCGCCGACAUCCAAAACACCCAACGUCGGCGAUUCAACAUAUACAUGAACAACGAGGACUGGUACACGAAUUACAGCCCCCCAUACCUGGUAGCUGAUCAUGUGCGUAGUUCUAAAUGGUAUAAGACUACGGGCGGCGAGUACAAUUUCACUCUUGCAGCCACCAAUACAUCCAUGAUGCCUCCGAUGAUCAAUGCAUAUGAGGGAUACACACACAUCCCCCACGACACUCCGAGGACAUUCUUCAAAGACUUUGAAGCAAUGAUGGCUAUCAAACAAGAGUAUGGAGUAAAGAAAAAUUGGAUGGGUGAUCCAUGUUUUCCAGCAAAAUAUCGGUGGAAUGGCGUUAAGUGUAGCGAUGUAACUGAUAACACGACGAGGAUAAUAUCUCUAGACUUGUCCAAUAAUAACAUGAGUGGGUUGGUAUCUGAUAACUUCACACUUCUCACAGAACUCCAAUUUCUAGAUUUAUCUGGCAACACUCUGAAUGGACCAAUUCCAUAUUCCCUUUGUAAAGUGAAUGCAGGAUCGCUCGUUUUAAGGUACGAGUCUGGUGAAGAUAUGUGCAACAAAACAAUAAGUUCGACUCCAUCAAAAAAUAGAACAGUUAUAAUAAGUAUUUCAAUAGUGGUUCCCUUGCUGGUAGUGGUUGUACUUGUUCUUUCAUAUUUUAUCUGGAGAGGGAAGAGAAAGCCUAAAUUUUCCGUACAGGAUGCUCCUAGAGAGCAAGAACUUGAGAGUGCCCUUGGAAGUACAAAAAUUCAGGGUGAUCACCUGCAAAAUACCGAGAAUCGACGAUUCACAUACAGGGAGCUCGAGAAGUUUACAAAUAAAUUCCAACGGUCCAUUGGUAAAGGAGGUUUUGGGCUCGUAUACUACGGCCGCUUAGAAGACAAUACUGAAGUUGCUGUCAAGAUUCGUUCUGAAUCAUCGUCGCAUGGUCUUGACGAGUUCUUAGCAGAGGUCAAUAGCUUGACAAAGGUGCAUCACAGGAAUCUAGUUUCUUUGGUUGGUUACUGCUGCGAGAAGGAACAUUUGGCACUUGUUUAUGAGUACAUGUCCGAGGGCAAUCUUUGUGAUCAUCUGAGAGGGAAAAAUGGUGUUGGUGAACCCUUGAGCUGGGCGAUACGUGUACGAGUCAUGCUCGAAGCAGCACAAGGCCUGGAUUAUCUUCAUAAGGGAUGUAGCUUGCCAAUAAUCCACCGGGAUGUGAAAACCAACAACAUUCUCCUAGGUCAAAAUCUAAAGGCUAAAAUAGCUGAUUUUGGACUAUGCAAGACCUAUCUUAGCGACAUGCAGACCCACAUAUCAACUAAUGCGGCUGGGACAGCAGGAUACAUGGACCCCGAGUACUAUCACACUGGCUGGCUCACUGAGAGCAGCGAUGUGUAUAGCUUCGGGGUUGUUCUACUUGAGGUAGCAACCGGUGAGCCUCCAGUAUUGGCGGGCCAUGGCCACAUCGUUCAGCGUGUGAAGCAAAAGAUUGCCACUGGCAACAUCACCACCGUGGCUGAUGCCCAUCUUGGAGGUGAAUAUGAUGUCAACUCCAUGUGGAAACUGGUCGACACCGCCAUGGCGUGCACAGCGGAUGCUGCUGUCCGAAGGCCAACAAUGGCCACCGUUGUGGCGCAGCUGAAAGAGAGCCUUGCGUUGGAGGAAGGUCGUGAGGACAGUAGUGCCAGGGGAAGCAUCACCAGUACAACUGCUGCUCCGAUGUCGGCGUUCGGUCCAUCGGCAAGAUGA
rnacentral:rRNA from 1 species